GAUGAACGCUGGCGGCGUGCCUAAUACAUGCAAGUCGAGCGAACGGACGAGAAGCUUGCUUCUCUGAUGUUAGCGGCGGACGGGUGAGUAACACGUGGAUAACCUACCUAUAAGACUGGGAUAACUUCGGGAAACCGGAGCUAAUACCGGAUAAUAUUUUGAACCGCAUGGUUCAAAAGUGAAAGACGGUCUUGCUGUCACUUAUAGAUGGAUCCGCGCUGCAUUAGCUAGUUGGUAAGGUAACGGCUUACCAAGGCAACGAUGCAUAGCCGACCUGAGAGGGGGAUCGGCCACACGGGAACUGAGACACGGUCCAGACUCCUACGGGAGGCAGCAGUAGGGAAUCUUCCGCAAUGGGCGAAAGCCUGACGGAGCAACGCCGAGUGAGUGAUGAAGGUCUUCGGAUCGUAAAACUCUGUUAUUAGGGAAGAACAUAUGUGUAAGUAACUGUGCACAUCUUGACGGUACCUAAUCAGAAAGCCACGGCUAACUACGUG
rnacentral:rRNA from 1 species